rnacentral:rRNA from 1 species
GUGCCAGCAGCCGCGGUAAUACAGAGGGUGCGAGCGUUGUCCGGAAUCACUGGGCGUAAAGGGCGCGUAGGUGGCCUGAUAAGUACGGGGUGAAACCCUGCAGCUUAACUGCAGGACGGCCUCGUAGACUGUCCGGCUUGAGCAUGGUAGAGGCUGGUGGAAUUCCCGGUGUAGCGGUGGAAUGCGUAGAGAUCGGGAAGAACAUCGGUGGCGAAGGCGGCCAGCUGGGCCAUUGCUGACACUGAGGCGCGACAGCGUGGGGAGCAAACAGGAUUAGAUACCCCGGUAGUCC